rnacentral:rRNA from 1 species
UUAAGCGAAUAAGCGUACACGGUGGAUGCCUAGGCAGUCAGAGGCGAUGAAGGACGUGCUAAUCUGCGAUAAGCGCCGGUAAGGUGAUAUGAACCGUUAUAACCGGCGAUUUCCGAAUGGGGAAACCCAGUGCAAUUCGUUGCACUAUCAUUACCUGAAUACAUAGGGUAAUGAAGCGAACCGGGAGAACUGAAACAUCUAAGUACCCCGAGGAAAAGAAAUCAAACGAGAUUCCCCCAGUAGCGGCGAGCGAACGGGGAGCAGCCCAGGACCUUAAUCAGUAUCAGCAUCAAGAGAACAGUCUGGAAAGGCUGGCCACAGCAGGUGAUAGCCCUGUAUCUGAAGAUGUUGGUGUUGUGAGUCCGAUGAGUAAGGCGGGACACGUGUUAUCCUGUCUGAAUACGGGGGGACCAUCCUCCAAGGCUAAAUACUCCUGACUGACCGAUAGUGAACCAGUACCGUGAGGGAAAGGCGAAAAGAACCCCGGCGAGGGGAGUGAAAAAGAACCUGAAACCGUGUACGUACAAGCAGUGGGAGCACCCUUCGGGGUGUGACUGCGUACCUUUUGUAUAAUGGGUCAGCGACUUAUAUUCUGUAGCAAGGUUAACCGGAUAGGGGAGCCGCAGGGAAACCGAGUCUUAACUGGGCGAAUUAGUUGCAGGGUAUAGACCCGAAACCCGGUGAUCUAGCCAUGGGCAGGUUGAAGGUUGGGUAACACUAACUGGAGGACCGAACCGACUAAUGUUGAAAAAUUAGCGGAUGACUUGUGGCUGGGGGUGAAAGGCCAAUCAAACCGGGAGAUAGCUGGUUCUCCCCGAAAGCUAUUUAGGUAGCGCCUCGUGAAUUCAUCUCCGGGGGUAGAGCACUGUUUCGGCUAGGGGGUCAUCCCGACUUACCAACCCGAUGCAAACUGCGAAUACCGGAGAAUGUUAUCACGGGAGACACACGGCGGGUGCUAACGUUCGUCGUGAAGAGGGAAACAACCCAGACCGCCGGCUAAGGUCCCAAAGUCAUAAUUAAGUGGGAAACGAAGUGGGAAGGCUCAGACAGCCAGGAUGUUGGCUUAGAAGCAGCCAUCAUUUAAAGAAAGCGUAAUAGCUCACUGGUCGAGUCGGCCUGCGCGGAAGAUGUAACGGGGCUAAAUUAUGCACCGAAGCCGCGGCAGCGAUAUGUAAAUAUUGUUGGGUAGGGGAGCGUUCUGUAAGCCUGUGAAGGUGACCUGUGAGGGUUGCUGGAGGUAUCAGAAGUGCGAAUGCUGACAUAAGUAACGAUAAUGCGGGUGAAAAACCCGCACGCCGGAAGACCAAGGGUUCCUGUCCAACGUUAAUCGGGGCAGGGUGAGUCGACCCCUAAGGCGAGGCUGAAAAGCGUAGUCGAUGGGCAACGGGUUAAUAUUCCCGUACUGGUGGUAACUGCGAAGGGGGGACGGAGAAAGCUAAAUCAUCCGGGCGACGGUUGUCCCGGUUUAAGCGUGCAGGUGGACUGACCAGGCAAAUCCGGUCGGUUGUUAACACUGAGGCGUGACGACGAGCCACUACGGUGGUGAAGUGAUUGAUGCUCUGCUUCCGGGAAAAGCCUCUAAGCUCCAGGUUACCAUUAAUCGUACCCCAAACCGACACAGGUGGUCAGGUAGAGAAUACUCAGGCGCUUGAGAGAACUCGGGUGAAGGAACUAGGCAAAAUGGUGCCGUAACUUCGGGAGAAGGCACGCUGGCAUUAGGUGAAGUGGUUUACCCAUGGAGCUGAAGCCAGCCGCAGAUACCAGCUGGCUGCAACUGUUUAUUAAAAACACAGCACUGUGCAAACACGAAAGUGGACGUAUACGGUGUGACGCCUGCCCGGUGCCGGAAGGUUAAUUGAUGAGGUCAGCCGCAAGGCGAAGCUUCUGAUCGAAGCCCCGGUAAACGGCGGCCGUAACUAUAACGGUCCUAAGGUAGCGAAAUUCCUUGUCGGGUAAGUUCCGACCUGCACGAAUGGCGUAAUGAUGGCCAGGCUGUCUCCACCCGAGACUCAGUGAAAUUGAACUCGCUGUGAAGAUGCAGUGUACCCGCGGCAAGACGGAAAGACCCCGUGAACCUUUACUAUAGCUUGACACUGAACAUUGAGCCUUGAUGUGUAGGAUAGGUGGGAGGCAAUGAAGUGUGGACGCCAGUCUGCACGGAGCCAUCCUUGAAAUACCACCCUUUAACGUUUGAUGUUCUAACCCGGGUCCAUAAUCUGGAUCGGGGACCGUGUCUGGUGGGUAGUUUGACUGGGGCGGUCUCCUCCCAAAGAGUAACGGAGGAGCACGAAGGUUGGCUAAGCAUGGUCGGACAUCAUGCGGUUAGUGCAAAGGCAUAAGCCAGCUUGACUGCGAGAGUGACGGCUCGAGCAGGUACGAAAGUAGGUCUUAGUGAUCCGGUGGUUCUGAAUGGAAAGUGCGGAAGAGAUAACCGCUGAAAGCAUCUAAGCGGGAAACUUGCCUCGAGAUGAGUCUUCCCUGACCCUUUAAGGGUCCUGAAGGAACGUUUGAGACUAAGACGUUGAUAGGCUGGGUGUGUAAGCGCAGCGAUGCGUUGAGCUGACCAGUACUAAUGAACCGUGAGGCUUAACCUG